GGUAUGUCUUUGCCUAAAGGAGUCGAUCGAAACCAACAUAGUCCCCUCUCUCUCAAGUCGCUCCAUCGUUCUUUCUUUCCUUAGUUCUCUCACGUUUCAGAUCCGACACUAAACGAGCUGCCAUUGGCAAACUAAUAACACACGGCCCUAAUACUGCCCCUGACGAUAAUGUCUUGCGUGACCUGUCUUCCUCUGGAGUUGCUCUUAUACAUGCGAAUGAAGUUCAAUCGAAUUUGUUUGACUGGAUGCGGAGGAAUCCACCUCCGGCUAAUAUAUUGCUCAUAUCUGGUCCUACAGAACUGGAAAGCCUAGCUCAUACUAUUUAUGGGCUAGAUAGUGAGGGAUACACAGUUUUUAUGGCAUAUUCUCAACGUCGCCCAGCAUCAGACUGGCUCUGGAAGAGCUUUUUUUCUGGGGUUUACAAAGAGUGGCUCUGGACAAGCUUACUAACAGCUGAUAUGGAUUCUUCAGGGACGUUGUCUGCGGAUAAUAAACAGUUGAUGACAACCAGACUUGUUCUUCCGAGCAAGUUCAGUGAAAUAGGUGGUGAAUCUCCCUGGUUUUGCUCAUUUUGCUUUUAUGCUGCUCAAAGCUUAAUUUGAAGAUUUCACGACUCAUCUCAAGAGUAAAGCACAUCGAAAUAAUGAUCCGGACUUGGUGGAAAAUGGUGGAUGUGAUGAAGCUUUAACCAAUUGAAUGCAAGUUGAAAUUAACAGAGGUCUAGGAGGGGGAGUAUUGAAGUUGUAUUUUAAAUGAUUUUUGAGUAUUUUUGAAAUCUCUUAUUAUUUCAAUUAGGAUUUUUAAGAAUCGUUUAAAAUCCUAUUUUAUUCAACUUGAAAUUUAUUUAAAACCAUUUAAAAUAAUAUAUACAAUCUCUUGUUAUA